rnacentral:rRNA from 1 species
GAUGAACGCUGGCGGCGUGCCUAACACAUUCAAGUCGAACGGUGACGGGGACUUCGGUCCCCUGAUCAGUGGCGGACGGGUGAGUAACGCGUGAGCAACCUGCCUCUGCGUGGGGGAUAACGAUUGGAAACGAUCGCUAAUACCGCAUAAUGUAAUUAGGGGGCAUCCCUUGAAUACCAAAGCUUUAUGUGCUGAAAGAUGGUCUCGCGUCUGAUUAGCUAGAUGGCGGGGUAACGGCCCACCAUGGCGACGAUCAGUAGCCGGUCUGAGAGGUUGGACGGCCACAUUGGGACUGAGACACGGCCCAAACUCCUACGGGAGACAGCAGUUAGGAAUAUUCGUCAAUGGGGGAAACCCUGAACGAGCAAUGCCGCGUGAGUGAUGACGGUCCUUUGGAUUGUAAAACUCUGUUGUUAGGGAAGAACGACCAGUAUAGGAAAUGAUACUGGAGUGACGGUACCUUUCAAGAAAGCUCCGGCUAACUACGUGCCAGCAGCCGCGG